rnacentral:tRNA from 1 species
CGGGGCAUGGCGCAGUCCGGUAGCGCAUCUGGUUUGGGACCAGAGGGUCGGGAGUUCGAAUCUCUCUGCCCCGA